AAAAAUAUCUAGAGGAUGGCCUACUUGUUUAUGAAAUGCUGCACUGUUGAUUCUGUUGAUUCCUUUUUUUUAAUUGUUUUUUUUUUCUUAUAAUUGCAGAAUUACUCUUUCUCUUCUGGAAUUGUACAAUACAAUUCAUCCAAAGAUGUUAAUAACCUGACAUUUGAGAGAGCAGAACAAUCUCUCUCAGAGCUGAAAAACCAGCUGGAUGAAGUCUGUGAAGAGCUCAUGGGCAAAAUAUUAAACAAAGUUUCUGAUGUCCAAAUAUUCAAAGAAACUGAAAGGUUCCAGAGCAUUCACCACUCUGAGAUGGAAGUAGGGAUGGAAGUGCAGAUGUGGGACAUUGAUGAUGACUACAUAUAUGGAUAGAUGGAGACGUUUACCUUGACAACACUUGAAAACAUCUGGACAUCAUCAUUCUUUUUCCUAGAUUACAAUAAGCCUGCAACAUACGUGAUGGUCUGCAUCUAUAGGAGCUCAUAUGGGUAGAUUACAUUACAUUAAAUAUUAUAAUUAGUAAUAUGGCUUUAAAAACUAUUACUCAUGUGGAAUUUGUAAAACAACUGUACCUUUUAAAAUCUUUUUAUUUUCAGUCAGUCAGCUGCACACACAGUUCCGUAAGCUACAGAGAAAGACAUGCCUUUGUUUGUGUUGUGAAUAAUUUUCCAAAACAUUCGAAUUGGACAAUGACUUGUCCAAUUCGAGCAACAUAAAAUAUUUCCAAAUUCCAGCACUAGGUGGUGCUAUAACAGAAAUGUUCUCAUAAUUCUGUAACCAUCUGGUGAUGGGAGUUGAAGUUCAGUGUUCUAUUUCUUUGUGAUAGAUAUGUUUACACAAAGAUCAUCUGUACAAAUCAACAAAAAAAUUAAAUGUUCCCAUUUCAACUGA